rnacentral:lncRNA from 1 species
ACUGCCCUCCUCGCUCACUUCCGGCAGCAGGGCUCCAAGUUUGGUGUUCAGACGCCUCUGGAGUGUUUAAGGGAACAAAGUACGGCUGAAUCCACUCUGGUCUCAAUCACUAACAGCAGCAGAGGACUGCAGAGCUGAACAGGACAAAGCAGCUCUGGGGAGUGCUGGGGUCAGAAAGCCAACAAGAAGCUCCUCACUGUUGACCCUCCCACCAACGCCCACCCGCCCCUCUACGAUACCCCACCUAUGGGAGUGUGGAUGCAUUAACACAUUUUAAGAACAUGGUCAUAGAUCCUGCCUGCGUCUGAGCCUGCAAUCAGCAAGCCUGGUGGCUAGGUCUCUGCUCCCUCCUUACUUGCAGCCUCCCUGGGUCUCCCUGGGAGAUCAGGCACCUCCCUUAGCCAGCCCCCUCCCAGCUUCCUACUGCCACUCGGAACAGAACUUCCGCAGCUAUCAUGUGACCUUGAAGAUGGAAGUCACAUGCCAGAGAAGACAGAAGACAGAGACCCUGAUAACUUCAAAGAGCCAGCCAAAUAAUGCCUGUUUACUCCUGAUCCUGGUAAAAGUGAAGAGAGUAAAUCCUUGCAAAUAAACAACUAGAUUUUCUCCCUA